rnacentral:lncRNA from 1 species
GGCAGAGACUGGGUGAAGUCUGCGUCAGGGACCUCAGAUCUCCCCCUCCCAGUCCCAAAGGCAAGGAGUAAGGGGUCCCGACCUCCAGGCUGGUCUGCUCACUCUGUGGGCUGCACAGCUGCCUCCUUCAGGAAGCCUGCUCUGUCUGUGCCCUCAGGAACAACCUCUAACAUGCGGUUUCUUGCCCACCUCUCAUCCUAUAUCCUGCUCCUGGUCCACACAGUCUUCUGUUUCCUAGCUAGCGGGUGGACUGCGGUGCCCUGGACAAUCCUCAGAGCCAUGACCUCCGUAGUGCCAUCCAUGAAAUGGGCGUGCUCAGGUUUCCCCAACUUUCCCGGGCGGAGCCAGGAACCCAGAGCCAGAAACCCGGAAGCGCGGAAGCGCUGAAGCGCGAGAACAAGGACUCCCUGGCCGAAGGAGCAGAGGCUCUCCAGCCGCCAGGUUGCUGUCGGACCCGCGAAUAGACCCACAUCUUUUACAGCUUGGCCCGUGUCACGUGGCUUGGAGGGCACCCCCCCUCCGGCCCCCCCUGCCCGGAAGGACCUCCCUGGGGCGGGGAGGGGCGGAGUCUGGGGCGGGUCCUUGCGGGGUUUGCGCCACAGCCGCUGGGAGGCCGCAGAUGUUUUUUGUGGUUUUUUUUUUUUUGGUACUGGGGGUGGAACUCAGGACCUUGCGCUUAUCAGGCAGGCGCGACGCCACUGAGCUAUACAUUCCUCCCUGACCCAGGAGGCCGCAGAUGUGCGGGUGUGGAGGCGGGGAGAGUGUGUACGCCGCUGGCCGGGGAACACCGACCCUCCUAGGAAUGGGGACAGAGGAGCCUCCAAAGGAGCCUCAGGCUGGCAGGGGCUCUGCUGGAGGCGGUGCAGGGCUGCGCGCCUGUGAGACCCCUGAAAGGCAGGUGCCCUGCUCACCCCGCUGGAAGCACCUUCCCUUCUCUCGCCAUAGGUAUUUCUCUAAUUUGACCCUAAAACAAACUUGUUGAGGAAAGAGCUGAAGAGGAAUAGCUCAGGCUGGCCAACUUCGUGUGUGUGAGAUGGCACCGACACACUGUCCCCUCUAGUGCUGUCUGUCCUCUCAGCAGCCUCACUGGGUGGCUUUUAGUUCCAGCUCUGUUCCACAGAAGAGGAGGCCCAGGCAUAGUAAAGUCACAUGUGGGCCAGAGCCAGGUGGUACCCUGACCCCUCCAGCCCCCUGGCCUGGCACUUCUCUGCCAUGUGACACUACUUGCAAGGCCACUGCUUACUAGUCGCGUCCUUGCUUGCCCUGCCCCUGGUGCUCCUGGCUGACACCACUGUGAGUAUUGGUGGUCUGUGGCAUGGGCCUGCCCCAAGUGCACUUCCUUCCAUGCCACCCCCAAUUGGAUCUGCAGGCUCUGCUGUCCCCAGCAGCGGGGCAGGUCCACCAGCCCUACUGACCUGUGCCUCCUGCACCAGAAACAAGAGCCCGGUCCCUUGGCCAGGCGGGUGCUCUGGGUGUGAUGGGGCUGAUACUGGUAACCAAACCCCUGGGGAGACAAGAACGGUGACAGCUGUGAGCCAAUUAAAACUUUGCCCCUUAAAAAAAUGGUGACAGGUAGAAACAGACACAGCAAGAGGCAGAGAGUCCAACUGUUGGCAGAGAUCAAAUAGGGGACCGUGUCCUGCCUCCAGUGUGGUGGGCCUCUCGGGCAGGUGGUGGUCUGGGCCUUUUCCAGGUUGCUGCUGAGGCCUGGAUUUCCCAUGGAGCAUUCUGGGGCCCCUAGCAUGUUUGUGGCUUUUGUUUGGGGUGAGGGUGACAACGGUGAACUUAUUCUCCUUUGGACAAAUCCAGAGAACCCAGAGAGGAACAGCUUUGGGUGGGUACUGCCCAUUUCUACCCUCUGUUUCCCUGACUGUAAACCUCGUCGAUGAGGAAAAGAAACUAUCACUUCUGGGAAGCUAUGAGUCCAGCCCUGUUUGGGGAUUUACACCCAUGUCAUGAGAGGGCACCAAGGGCUUUUUCAAAGUUGACAGCCUGUGACCUGGCACAACUAUACCCAGAACCCUGGCCAGUGUAGACAAGCCCCCACCAGGUGUCCACUCUGGCUGAGACUCUGUAUCAUCUCACUUCACCCUUAUUCAUUGGCUUUCACAGGUGGAAACUCAGGCUGGAAGAGGUGUGGUCACUUGCUCAGGGCCAUACAAUUAGCAUGUGACACAGGCACAGUUUGCUCCUGGUUAUGGGGGCACAGAGGCCAGCUCACCUGGACCCUGUGCUGGCCCACCCAGUGUGGUACCCAGAGGUAGCUCCACCCAAGCUAGCCUUGGACUCCCUGAAUCCCACACAAGCUUGUUCCCUCAGGAGACCUGAAGGAAAACCCACCCACAUCCCUCUUCUGCCCUUCCCAGAGUAUGGCCAGGACAGCCUUAGCCCCUCUGCCCCACUCUGGGUACCUCAUGUGUCCCUUGGAGUCUCCCGAGGAGAAAGACUGGCUGAGGCCAGUGUGUGCUCGAAGGCCCUGACCUCCUGAGUCCAUGAAUGCCAAAGACCAGGAAAAUGCUUCCUGCUGGGUAUCCUUCUUGUUCCUACAAUACUAAUCCACUCAAAAGCAGUGGUUUUUUUAAGGGGUAAUUUUCUUCCUUGUGAGGCAUUUGGCAAUGUUUAAAGAUAUUUUUGUCUGUCGUAAAUUGCAAGGGCAAGGGGAUUGCUACUGACUUAUAGUAGAUAGAGGCCAGGGAUGCUGCUAAACAUCCUACAGUACACACAGCAGCCCCCACAACAAAGAAUUAUCUGGUCAAAAGGCCAGUUGCGAACCCCCGAUGUAUGGUUCAGGGGCCAGGCAGACCUUGAUUUGAGUCCUCCCUCUGUCAUUUACUAGCUGUGUAUUCUUAGGCAAGUGCCUUCACUUUUCUCUUAGUCUUAGCUUGCUUGUCACCAAAACCCAGCACGAAUUGUAUCCCUCACCUCUUGGGGGCUUGAGGGCUAUGCAGACGGCAUAUAUCCAGCACCUAGGACAGGGUCUGGCACUGGGAAGCCCCUGGCAGUGAUAGCCAUUAAUCUUCAUUCUCGG